rnacentral:lncRNA from 1 species
GUAUUCUCUGUAUUAGUCAUGAAAUUUUACUUUACUUUUUCCGUACACCAAUUGAAUCCAGAUUUUUGUUUAGCACUCCAGUGACUAUCAAAUGUAAUAUAGCUACUGACAGCACUUGUUUCCCAGGCUCUAGAGAGUGUAGAUGAAGCUCUGGUGAGACUGGAAAGCUUGCUACAGCAGUUGCAUUCAUCAAGCUCAUCCUCUGGAAAGGAACAAAUAAAAGCUGCUUGCUCUGACCUAGAGAAAAUAAGGAAGCUGAAGAAAGAGGCUGAAUUUUUAGAGGCAUCUUUCAGAGCCAAAGCAGCUUCCCUGCAAGAGGUGUGUAGUUGUUAUAUCAUACCUUUCCUCAUGCAGUUUGGAUUGAUAUUCAAGUGCUGAUACUGGAGUUUGCUAGACUAACCGAAGAUACACCAACAUUUACCCUUUUUACGAAGUGUAGCAUCAGUUUUGGUGCCUGUAAUAUGAAAACAAAGAUGAUGAGUGCAUUUCGUUUUAUUAAACGUGUGUGGAUGACUAAAAUCUCAUGUGGUUCACUCAGGGAGGUGGUGACAGCGACUCUCAGGGGUCCUCUGAGGAACAAAAACAGAAGCUAAAAGGAAAAGACAAAAAGAAUUCAAUCAGCUCUGUAGAUCAAGGCACAAGGUAUGUUGCAUGUUCUGUUAUUCAAUAAUAUCAUCUGUGGUUUGAGUAUAUGUUGUAGGUUCCCCUUCGUUCUCUUCUGGUUGCAGAAACGUAUUUAUUCUUUUCCAUCUAUAUUAGUAGGAGUCGUGGAUUCUGGGGUUUCUUUGAGCGCCCUCCAAGGAAGAAGCCUGCCCCCAAGGUGUUCUUUAAUUUCUUAUCUAAUGCGAAGCAUAUCUUAUACCUAAUAUUUUUGGGAAUAUUUCUGCUUAUUCAGUUUUCACCCCGUCAGAAGAUACUUUGUUAAAAGGUUUCAGUUUUUUUCGCAAUAAGCAGGUAGAUGAAUAUACUGAGAGAUCCAGAGAAAACGUAGAUAGCGUUGAUUCCGAAUCCAAUGAGAUAUAUCGGUUCGAACUUCUAAGGAAUGAACUGAUAGAGCUGGAGAAGCGGGUCCAAGGAAGUACAGAUGAGUCGGUAAAGGAAGAGGUUAGUAAUUAGUAACCAGACUUUGUAUGUGUUCUUUCUUUCAUGGUUAAAGCUUUUACGAUGGUAGCAGAUGAUCAUUUGCGUCUAUCUCACAUCACUUUGUUCCUUGGCAAUCAAUUUGGCACGUUCUGCAGGGAGGGGAUCCUCCUAAAUCAAGCAGUAGUAUGAAAGGUGUGGAGUUGGUUCAAAGCUCAAAGAAAGAAAGCGUCAUUGAGAAAACACUCGACCAAAUCAAAGAAACAAGCACAGUAUGAAAGUCAUUCCAAGUCUCAUGGCACCUGCAGCUUCUUUUUGUCUACUUCAUGAUUUAAUUACUAAAAUUUCGCUUUACUGUGAUUUUUUUGAUAGGACGUGUGGCAAGGUACGCAGCUUCUUGCAUUUGAUUCAGCUGCUGCUAUGGAGCUGCUUCGAAGGUCUGUAAUAGGAGAUGAACUAACAGAGAAAGAAAAGAAAGCUCUGCGCAGAACUGUGACUGACUUAGCAUCAGUUGUUCCUAUUGGUGUUCUUAUGCUUCUUCCUGUGAGUAAAAACUAACCUCAUCAGAUUCACAAAUAUCAUACUUCCAUCCGCAUUGGUUGUUCAUCCUUGUAAAGAAGUUUCUGUUUCACAACUUAUCAUUGGCACCAAAGUCGCUUCACCGUUAAUUUUAACUAAUCUAAUGGGUACGCGUAUGUCAAACAGGUCACAGCAGUGGGUCAUGCGGCUAUGCUUGCCGCAAUUCAAAGAUAUGUACCAGGCUUGGUAAUACUUUUUUUUUUAAUACUUGCUUUGCUCUCCUGUAUUAUUUUUCUAUCUCUGUUCCCUAAGUUGACAAACAUCCGUCUUUGUUCAGAUACCUUCGACCUACGGACCCGAAAGGUUGAACCUAUUAAGACAGCUCGAGAAGGUCAAGCAGAUGCAAAAUGAAACAGAGCCUGAGGAAGGCAUCGAUGAAGCAGAAUCAUGAACAGAUUCAAGAUGCAAAAAUCAGUUUAUACAUCACCUUGUUCUAUAUAAUUUAUUGACAAGAGAGGUGUGCAUAGAGAAUCUCGUUCCAUAUGUCUGUGUACGCCUGGUAGGCACCAGUGGCUUCAAUGUUGAGGAGCAUCAGCAGGAGUACCACUUGAGGACCAUCUUUCCUAUACUCUUGUCAGAUAUGUAAAAAUGUUGAGAAACUUAAAACCUUAAUAUGUUGAUAUCUCAUAUCUUCUUCAGUUACUUCAUAGAUAAAUUUGUAUCAGGUUCCUUUUGUCAGUCCAUUACAUGGUGUCGAUCAAAUACAUUUUUGACUAAACCAGAGAACAUAAGAUAUCUCUUAUCUCGUAUACUGUUUACUCUUUGUUACAGCGGUAGCUGCAAGAGGCGGCAUGGAGACUUUAAGAGCAUGAUUAUUGGGAGGUUCUUAGGGUGGAGUUCUUAGCGGAAUAUAAGAAUCCGUCUCUUAAUUUUUAACUAAAAAAACUAAGAAUCGUCUCUUAAAACUCUUAUUUAAGAGCCGGUUCAUAGUUUUUUUAGUUAAAAGUUAAGAUGCAUGUUCUUAUAUUUCGCUAAGAAUCUUACCUUAAGAACUAUCCAAUAAUGAUGCUUUUAUGACUCAUUCACACUAUUGUUUUGCUCAAAAAAGAAAAAAAAACACUGUAUUGUUAGGCUUUUAAUGGGCUUUUAUAGGCCCAUAUUAUUAACGGGAUCUCGUGAAAUCAGUACCUUAUCCAUGGAAGCUAGGCUGGCAAGAUAUUGCCACUUACAAGGUAAUGAAUCAUGCUUACAAAACAACCGUUGAACUUCUUAGGUUGGUUGAGUAGUAAAAACACAUUUUUUGCAGCCCCCCGAAGAUGCUUUGUUCGCACACCCGAGGCUGUUCAGAGCUUGUGUUCCAACUUCACCUGGAAUGCACCGUUUCAGAGGCAACAUUUGGGAUUUCGACAGAAAACCUAAAGUCAUGCAGGCCUUAGGUUACCCUUACCGAUGAAUGAUAUAAUCCAAGAGAUAACCGAAGCUAGAAACAUCGAACUUGGACUCGGUUUACAGGUAAAAGAGCCAUUCACUUUCUCAUGCAACUAUGUUACUUUCCUUAUCUGACCGUUCUUUUCACUUCCCCCAGCUCUGCUUUUUGCAUCCUUCAAAGCACAAGUUCGAACACCCUCGGUUUUGUUUCGAGAGAAUAGAAUACGUGGGCCAGAAGAUACAGAUGAUAUUGCAGGACACAUAGCAAUGGCGGAGCGUUUGUUAAUGAAGCACCUGGACGCACCAGUUCGUUAAUGAACAAGUUCUGCGGUAGGUAUCUCAGGGAGAAACGUCAUCACAACUUUAUAAUCUACUCGGAGGAUGUUCAUGAUCGGAAUGAGCAUAACCGGAGACUUAGAAACCCAGCAACAACCGCUGUUCAACAAGCCAUUCACGCCCUAGCUUAGACUAUCUACGGCAAACCUGAUGUUCGGAGGCUCCUGUUUGAGGUUUUUGACUUCGAACAGAUUCAACCUAAAGCUGUCUGAAAAAGUCUCUCACUCUUUUGGCUUCAUGUAUUUUUAGUUUGCUUUCUUUUUUUGGAUUUGGUGUCUUUAGUUAAUUCUCCCUCGUUCAUGAAAAUAGAAGUUUUACAUUUUAAGAAUAAAUCUAGAAUUUCAAAAGUAACCCAUUUUCAAUAAUUUUUUUUAUUAUUUUAAUAUUAAUUGUUUUAGUUAAUGUGGACAAAAAUUGUAAAUAAAUUUAAAAGUUACAUUGAAAACAGAAAAAAAUUAUAUUUAUGAAACGAAUAAAAUAUUCUAAAUUUCUAUCUAAAACAGAGGGAGCAACUUUUAUUGUGUUUCAAAAAAAAAAUUAAUAACUUUUAUUUAUUUAUAUUUUUCCACAGUAAAAACUGUCUUAUGAAACGUAGUAGCUGAGGUCUAGAGCCAACUACACCUGUAGAUGGGGCAGUAUUCUCUCACAGUAUCAACACAUGCAAACAUGAGGAAGUCCAUUUGAUUACGUGGUCGCAUGCUCACCUUGGCCUUCCACGUAACACGAACCCCAUGCGGUUUCUGAUUCUUAACCUAAUUAUUAUUUGGUAUAAUAAACAAUUCAAUAUAUAUAUGUUGAUUUUAAAUGGUUAUUUUACUGUAGUUUUAUAUUCACCUGGCUCCUGAGUAGUAUUCUAGGUGUGUGUGUGGUGCUAAUUAACGUUCCAACGUGUCAAAAUAUAAUCACACGAUUUGCAUAAUGUUUAUGAUAAAUGUGUUAUGAGAUUGACCUGGUACUUAAACUUCUUCUUAUAACCAAAUGAUUUGGUACUCCCAAAGUAAGUUAACAAAGAUCUUUAUAUCUAUAUGUUUUUUUUUUUCUGGCAACAAACCCUUUUAUUACUCAAGCUUCAAGGUGGUCUGGGUAACUAGAGCGGAAUAGAACAACCGGUAAAACAAAGAUAUCUAUGAAAAAAACGUGCAUUCCUAGCUAACGAGUCUGCAAUCUCAUUUUGCGUCCCUGGAAACCGGUCCGUCGCUGAGGACGCUUCUCCAGACUACAAUUCGAACGCCGAAGACAUCCGAUUUUCAAGCUGGGCUCUUCCCGGUUCGCUCGCCGUUACUAAGGGAAUCCUUGGAGACUCAAUUAGGUUUAGACGAAGAACUGAUCACCAAAACGAUCGAUUUGGUAUUACUAUUUCUUCGCAAAACUUUAAUGUAAAUAUCUUGAUAGUUUAUCCGGACCGCUUACCGUUGCCUUGCAGGUUUUGGAAAGAGAUUUAGCUAUUUUUGGAUUCUUCAUUGCCUUAGGCAGGAGCACCCAGUCUUUUUUAGCUGCAAAUGGUUUUGAUGCGCUGGAGAAUCCUAUGGAAGACCUUGUCAGGUGACUCAUUAUUUUCUUCUGUUGGCUUCCCAUACUCUUCGUUCCACACUACCACUUUAACUCGCAAUCUUCUUUGUGCAGGCACUUCAUUGGGGGCAGUCUCCUGCAAUAUCCUCAACUUUCAGCCAUCAGUUCGUACCAGUUGUAUGUAGAGGUAGGCAUAAAUCAUACCGUCAUUGGUGGAAUUAUCCUUUAACCAUUUUGAAAUCUUAUCAUGGAAAUUCAUAGUGUAGGUUGUCUGUGAAGAACUAGAGUGGCUCCCUUUCUAUCCAAAUAAAAAGGACUCGCAGGCAGCCAAACAAGCACAUGGGCAUAGAAGCAGACCAGAAGGGCCACCUAAUUAUGAUGCUCUUCCUCAAAUAUUGAAUGUUUGCUCUUAUUGGCUACAGAGCUUUAUUAAAUACAGUAAAUGGCCAGAAAACCCAUCAAAUGUCAAGGCAGCAAAAUUCUUAUCCACAGGGUAUCUUACUUGUUUCUUAUCAAAUUUUUGGAUAGUUAGUGAAUUAGUCCGCCAUCAUAUUUACUUUAUUCUCAACUUUUAGGCACAAGAAGUUAAUUCAGUGCAAGGAAGAACUGGGGAUAUCAAGGUAAGCAAACAGAUCGAUAAAUGGGAUAGAAAGACGUUGUGUAUCCAACUCUGUGCACUCUGCAUUUUUGCACCAUUAUUAAAAAUCAAAUGAUUUAAUAGCUUUUAAUUGGAUAAUGUGUGAUGCAGUUUGGCAGUAGCAGAAGCAGGGUUUAUUGACAUGAAUGCAUUAUCAACUGAAGAGUCAAGCUCAUUUGACAAGGUCGGUAUUCUCUGUAUUAGUCAUGAAAUUUUACUUUACUUUUUCCGUACACCAAUUGAAUCCAGAUUUUUGUUUAGCACUCCAGUGACUAUCAAAUGUAAUAUAGCUACUGACAGCACUUGUUUCCCAGGCUCUAGAGAGUGUAGAUGAAGCUCUGGUGAGACUGGAAAGCUUGCUACAGCAGUUGCAUUCAUCAAGCUCAUCCUCUGGAAAGGAACAAAUAAAAGCUGCUUGCUCUGACCUAGAGAAAAUAAGGAAGCUGAAGAAAGAGGCUGAAUUUUUAGAGGCAUCUUUCAGAGCCAAAGCAGCUUCCCUGCAAGA